AGUAUGCUUGUAAGACUGUCUAAACAAGUGUCUUAGCAGAGAAUUACUGUAUAGAAAAGCAUAGAGUUGAAGCCAGGAGGCCCAGUUUUAAUCAUGCCACUUGUUACUCAGUUUCCAUCCUCAAAUGAAGAAGCAGGUUAUGCCAAUCAGAAACACAAUCAGAGUCUGAAGGUCUCUUGCUGCUGGAAGCAUUGUCUGCAGAGCUUUAAUUGUCCAUAAGUUUGCAGCGGGAAUGAAAUGGAUAAAUUUUAAAAUACUUUAAUUUGUUUAGACAGAUUUUAAAGUUUUGACAAUAUAUCUCAAUGUAAUAAACCAUUACGAAAUAUCAGUGGUGUCCUUCCUGGGUUUGAUCCCGAGAAUGAUAAGAUUUAGGUAAAAAUUUAAAAUAUAGUAAAUCUGUGUAAUUACAGUUAACAAAGUACCCUUUCCUCACCAGUGAGGAGCAGCGAACCCAGAGCCUUUUACAUGUAAAUGCUAUGCUACUCAGCUGUGCAUUAUCUCUACCUAAGAUAACAUUACGAAACAAAACAAACCAACAACUAAAAACAGUAAGAUGUGUUUUCUGGGCUGAAGGUGUAUGUCACAGAUACUUGUCUGACAUGGAUUAAAUCCACAGUUGAGCCUUCUCACCCCCAAUACUACAAAACAAGUCACUAAACAAAAACAUAUGUGUAAUGUAUGUAUGUAUGUAUGUAUGUAUGAGCAUGUACUUGUGUAUUUUGGCUAGAAGUCAACACUGGGUGUCCUUUCCUCUAUCAACUUCUUUUAUUUGUUUUAUUUUAUUUUAUUUUAUUUUAUUUUAUUUUAUUUUAUUGAGACAGGAUUUCUCUGUACAACCCUGGCUAUCCUGGAAAUUGCUUUGUAGACCUAGCUGCCCUUAGACUCACAGUGACCUGACUGCCUCCCCAGUGCAGGGAUUAAAGGCGUGCACUGCUACUGCCUGUCUUUGUUGUUGUUGCUCCUCUAUCAAUUUUUAUUUUAUUUUUUUGAGUCAGGGUCUCACUGAUCUUGGAGCUGACCUGAUUUGACUAGACUGACUGGCCAGCAAUCUCCAAGCCCUGGGAUUAGAGAUGUGUUUGCUGCACCUGGAUUUCUAUGUAGGUGCUAGAUAUCUGAAUUUUAUGUAUUGUGUCUUAUUAAUUCCCGUUCAUGGGAACUGGAGAAAUUACUCAGUGGUUAAAAGGUCGUGAGUUUAAUUCCAAGCACCCACAUCGUGACUGGCUUAUAACUGUCUAUAGUGAGAUUCAGUGUCCUCUUCUGGUAUGCAGCUAUGCAUACAGACAAAAUACCCAUAUGCAUAAAAUGCAUAAAAUCCUUUAAAAAAAUAAGAAAAAAUCCAUUGUAUGGACUUUUUACCUAAUCAUUAUUUUUGCAACAUCAUGCACUGGCAAUUUAGAACACAGCUGUUAAAUAAGUUAUACAAUACUGGGAAGCAAUGAAACUCACAGUAUACUAUUAAGAAUUUCAAAGUUUGAACUUUUGUUUAAAAGGCCAAAAUUGUUUUUGAAACAAGGUCCUUCUUACCAUCUAACACUGGUUGACCUCUAACUUACUGUGUAGACCAGGUUGGUCUCAAAUUCACAGAGACCCCUCUGCCUCUGUGUCCCGAGUGCUAGAAUUAAAGGUAUAUAGUGCCACACCUGGAUUAAAAACUUAAGUUUUGAUUAUUUUUCAGACGGUUCCAACACCCUCUUCUGACCUCUGCAGGCUCUGCGUGUAUACAUGCAGGCAAAACACCUUCACACAAAGUAACUUUUAUUUAAAAAAAUUUUGAUUCAGAAUCAUGAAUUUUUUAUAUAUACAGAAACACCACAAAGAUGUGCGUAUAUAUGAAUGUCUAUAUGUUUUUAGUAUACAACUGACUAUAAUACUUUCUUUUUAUAUGUGAAUAUUUAGUAUAAGUUUUGUCUGUUUGGAGAAUUACAAUGUACAUAUAUUGUGGUGGGUGGUAUCAAAAGUCUUUGAAUUUAUAAAUUUAAAGAACUAAGUUCUAUAAAUUCUCAUGUGGGGCUGGAGAUGGGUCAAAAAUCAGGAGCAAUCACGGCACUUGCAGAGGACCAGAAUUCAUCUCCUAGCACUCAGGAGAGGUGGUUUACAGCCACAGUAGCUCCAGUGCUAGGAGUUCUAUAAUUUUUUGUUAACUCCACACAAGCUAGGAUUGUCUGGGGAGAAUGUCACUUGAGAAGAUACUUCUGUCAGAGUGCCUAUGGGCAAGUCUGUAGGGCAUUUUCUUGAUUCAUAAUUGAUGUUGGAGGAUCCAGCUCACUGUGAAGAGGUGCUACCAAUGGAUCCUGUAUAAGAAAGCUGUCUGAGCUUCCUUACACAUGAAGAGCAAGCCAGUAAGUAGCAUUCCUCCACGGUCCCUCUUUAGUUCCUGCCUCCAGCUUCCUGCAUUGGCUUCCAUCAAUGGGUAUAUAAGGUAAAUAAAUCCUUCCCUCACCCCCACGUUGCUUUUGGUUAUGGUCUUUUUACAACAAUAGAAACUUAGUUAGAACAGGAUUUGACUCUUGCUUCUGGCCUCAGUGGGCCCCUAAGUGCUUAUGUAUACACACAUUUUUUAUGGAUUAAAUAUCUUUUUAAAAACUGUUAUUAGGAAGUCCCUCUGGCACCUUAGACAAGAUGAGAAUGUAGGUCAGUGCUGACUUAGGUGACACUGCUGCCUUUGUUUAUUUUUGUGGUGUUAGAGUUAAAGCCAAGGCCUUGUGAGUCCGAUUAGAUCAGGCCAGACUGCUAUACAUAGGAUAUAAUCAGUUUGUAGUUUUAUUUGUCAAUCAGCAUUUAUGAGCUGUCAGUCAUCAUAAAUACAGUAACUCUUAGGUGAAGAUUCAUGUUUUCAAAAUAAACAGUGAUUGAACUGUGGUAGACUGCUAGGAAGCCCUGAGUUUGAUUCUUACCACUGAAAAAAACAAUGCAAAAUAAACUAUUCUGAACCAACCAGUUAUAUAAUUGAUAAAUUAUUUUCUAUAGAUUCUGUAAAAUUUAAGUGUAACCUCUAAAAGAGUCUAGCCAUAGAACUCUUGCCUUCUGUGCUUCAUAGAAUUUCCAGUGGAAGACUGAAGCCAAAGAGAAAAGGAAGAAUUAAGUACUUUCUAAACCACAUUAGCUUUCAGCACCUUUUUUUUUUUUUCUUUUCUUUUUUCUUCCAGGAACUUCUUUGGACUGAGUCCUUCUUUGAGGUUUUCUUACUACUUUAUCAAAAUUUUAUUUUGGAGUCUUGAUAAAGCUAUAUGAGAGAUAGGAAUCUCCAAAUUUCUUAUUCAGCUGUAUUUCAUUAUACAGACACUAGUGAAUAUUUUUUCCGUUAGAAAAAUCUUUGC
rnacentral:lncRNA from 1 species